CCACGCCCCUUGAUGGGCGCGGCUUCUCCUCAAGGAUAAAAGGGCGAGGACAGGGGUUGGCGCGUUCUUUUCGAUUGUAGGAAGAGUUUGGUGCGGGGUUGCUGUGAUGAAGGCAUAUUCUGCCCUGGAGGAAUACGUUUUAUACUGGUUCAGCUGCUUUCCCUUUUCGUUAAACCUUAUUUUGUCUGAGAGUAAUACUGCUGGCCUCAUUUCCUAUGUAUGUGAUAACUGAUCUGUAAUCGCAUCUAAAAAAAGAACAAAAAGACUGGGAACAUUCACUCAUAUGAGCAACCUAAUUGGGACUGGCAGAGACUUGUUGCCGUCUGAACUCCCAACACUCACUGCGAGACAUUCUCAGAUAUGGCCUACUGUCAAGAGAACAAAGUAGUGAUGAUGCUAGAAACUACCCAGCAGCCAGUCUUGGGGAGCAGAGAUCGACCCCGAGGUGCCUCACUUGUGGGGUGCCUCAAGGGUCUGUUCUCUCGCCUCUCCUGUUCAACAUCUACAUGAAGCCGCUGGGCGAGGUUAUCCGUGGUUUCGGGGUGGAUUAUCAUCUGUACGCUGAUGAUACGCAGCUGCACAUUUCUACCCCGAACCACCCCAAUGAAGCCGUCGAGGUGAUGGGCUGGUGUCUUGAGGCCGUGCGGGUCUGGAUGGGGAGGAACAGGCUCCAGCUCAACCCCUCCAAGACUGAGUGGCUGUAGGUUCCGGCGUCCCGGUAUAGUCAGCUUACGCCAUCGCUGACUGUUGGGGGGGAAGUACUGACCCCCAGGGGAAGAGUGCGCAACUUAGGCGUUCUCCUGGACGAUCGGCUGUCUCUAGAAGAACACUUGAUGGCCGUCGCCAAGGGAGCAUUUUAUCAGGUUCACCUGAUUCACCAGUUGCGCCCCUUCCUUGAUCGGGACUCCUUACGCACGGUCACUCAUGCCCUCGUCACUUCCCGCCUGGACUAUUGCAAUGCUCUCUACAUGGGGCUCCCCUUGUAGAGCACCAAGAGGCUCCAGCUAGUCCAGAAUGCGGCCGUGCGGGUGAUAGAGGGGGCACCGCGUUGCUCCCAUAUAGCACCCAUCCUGCGUGGCCUGCACUGGCUGCCGGUAGCCUUCCGAGUGCAAUUCAAGGUGCUGGUUACCACCUUUAAAGCGCUCCAUGGCUUAGGACCGGGGUAUUUGCGAGACCACCUUCUGCCACCAAUUGCCUCCCAAUGACCUGUACGCUCCCACAGAGCGGGCCUCCUCAGGGUGCUGUCGACCAAACAAUGUAGGUUGGCGUCCCCCAGGGGGAGGGCCUUCUCUGUGGUGGCACCAGCCCUAUGGAACGAGCUACCUCCGGGGUUACGCCAACUCCCCGACCUCCGGGCCUUCAAACGUGAACUGAAGACUUUAUUAUUUCAUCGAGCGGGACUAGCCUAAGAUAUACUUUAGCGAAAUUUUAAUGGGUUUUAAUCGGUCUUUGACCGUUUUAGUGAUUUGGCCAGUAAAUAUUUGUUUUUAAUUGUUUUUUUAAAUAUUGUUAUUUAUUAUACUUAUAUUGUAUUGGUGUGGGUAUUUUAACAUUGGCUGUAAACUGCCCUGAGUCCUCCGGGAGAUGGUACGGUAUAGAAAUGUAAUUAUAAAUAAAUAAAUAAAAUUCAAAAGUGCUUGAAAAGUGGGAACAAGCAAACAGUUCUUUUGUGAUCCCUGUUGUAAAUUCACUAGUGACAAUCUUGAACAAGAUUCGAGAGAGCUGGGAUCGAGCCAGAAAUACAUCUCUUGGUAGGGGAAAGUUAGAUGUCAAGGAGACUUUCACUGUGAAACUUGACAAACUGUUUGAUAUCCUCAACUGCAAGUGUCAAGUUGUUCUGUGUUCCGAAUUUGGCUGCCCUGCUGGUUGUAAAAAAGAAGCUCACAUUAACUGUACUUGCCCUAAGGAGACAAAGAUACCAUUGAAGGAACUUGCUUUCAUUAAAGGUCAGAGAGACAAGAUUGGUUCUUUAGGAUCAUACAAGAUUGGUUUGCCAGAUGUGCCUGAGCAGAAACAACUGGCAAAAGCAGCAAGACAAUGAGUGACAAAGGCUCGCUAAAUAUAAGCAGAGAAGUAUUCCAGACAUUUGGUAUAAAACACAUAUUUUUAGAACUGAAAAAAAUUGCAAAAAUUAAUUUUCACCCCGAGUCGCCUUGUAGGGGAGAUGGGCAGCAUUAGAAUAGAUUGAUGUUCAGCCAAAAUUUUGCAAGUCUUAAUGGAUUAGAAAAGUCAGAGAUGUUUUCAAAAUAGCUGAAAGCAAAGGAAGCUACUAAUGGCAUAAAUAAAAUGAGAAGCUGUAAAUUUCUUUGGAUUGUUACAUUCUUUAUCACUCUUAAUAUGGAAGCUCCCUUUGGCAGCAUCUAGCCAACACUGGGUAAUUGUGAAAAAUCAGAGAAUGAGAAAAAGACAGGAAAUCCAAAAUAAAUGCCAGAAAUAGAUGAGGAAGUACUUAGGUUUGUUGCCAAAAAAACUCCAUAGUGUCAUUAAGGAAAGGAAUUAAUAUUUUAUUUUUUCUAAAUAUUUAGAGGGUAUUAAAUUUAAGUUUUGUCUGCCCAUAUUUUUACCUGACAAGCAGAAAGGAAAACAGGUUAGUUACCCUAAUACAAUCUGAAUUGGUCUCCACAUGUCAUCCUCAGUGAAGUGUGUAAAUCAGCGUCUGCAUUUCCUGCGUCGGAUGAAAACACAUCUUUCUCCUUUUAUCCUGCCCAUUUUUUACAGAGCUAUUGAGAGCAUUUUGAUAAACUGCAUCACUGUUUGGUUUGAUGGCAGCAGUGCCUCAGAGAGUCCAUUCAGAGAGCGGUAAGGACAGCUGGGAAGAUUAUAAGAAGCUCACUUCCUGUUACGCAGGAUACUGCUUAUAAGUACUAUGUGCUUAGAGCGCAAAGCAUUGUUAAGAGACCCCACAUACCCACUUUACAAUCUGUUUUUGUUGCUUCCCUCUGGGAGGAUGUUGCAAAGUAUUUCUUUAGCAUUUUCUGUAACAACUUUGUUCCCUAUGCCAUCCAUCUGGUAAACUUGCAAGAUUCAUUUUCUUGCCAUGUACAUGUAUACAUCCGAACUAAACUGAUGUUGUUCUGUGUCAUAUAUCUGGGUAUAUACUUUAUUUAUUUAUUUAUUUAUUUUGUCAUGUUUAUGUAGUGUAUAUUGGAAAUGGUGGCCCUUUUGAGAGCUGUAUGCAAUGAAAUUUCAUUUUAAUGUAUGCCAAUUAGUUCAAAGUGACAAUAAAGUUAUUCUAUUUUA